rnacentral:lncRNA from 1 species
GGACUGAGGCGCGCGGGACACCGAGCUCCGCUGGGUAAACUCCAGCUGCAGGAACCUGCACUAACGACUCAGCUUUUCCUUCCGACCACGCGGACCACGAGCCCCAGAACGCUUUGCGCCUCGGCCUCUUUGCGGAAAGAACAACAUUUCCCAGAGGGCCCCGAGACACGCCUCGACAUCGCGCCUGCGCUACAGGUGACCGAGGCCGCAGGUGCGGGUACCCGGAACGCUGUGUGCGAUCUUGGGCACUCAGAUGACUCUGGGCUACUGUGUGUGAGGGAGUGGUGAAGCUGUGCACGCCCGUGACUGUUAUUGAAUGCUCAGGUGGGGCGGUUUGUGUGUGUGACUGUCGCUGCACACUUUUGUGCUUGCUCACUACGGGGCGACGGGUUCUGUCGGUGUAGUGAGCUUCUGUAUUUUCAGUCACGCCCGUGAGUGUGGGUCGUUGUGUGACAGAUUGUGGGUCUGUCCCGCCAAGAAUGGGAGAGUGAUUGUGGGUGUGUGAAGAACUGUGGCUGACUUUGGGCAUGACGUUUCUGUAACUGUGUUCUUAUCCCAGAGAUCGCAGGAGUUUACCCAUAAUGGGCGGUAUUUCUGGGCUUGUCUUUAGGGUUGAGUACGUGGGAGAAGAGUGUUUGUGUGUCUGUGUGUGUGCCUGUCUCCAGGUCUAACUGUUCUCCCACCCCCACCCAACCCCUCACCUCCGGCCAUGGGUGGGGUCAGUGUUAUCCUCAUUUUUACUAUCCCUUCUCUGAUUGCCCCAUAUGUGAUGCCAGGCACAGAGGGUAAUUAUAUUCCAGUUGUAGGAAGAUGCUCAUUUGCACCAAAGCCAUUUAUAAUGUUGUAGCCAACAGCUCUGGGGUUUAUUGCUGUUUCUCCUUUUCACUUUAAAACUUUAAUUAGGGCCCAGCUUUAAGAAAAACUGUCCACAGUCAGGAGGAAAGAAUGUGAACCCCUGAGUGAUGUUAAAGAAAACCAGAGCUGAACAGUAGUUGAGGGGUUUUUGUUUUGUUUUGUUUUUUUUAAUCCAGGAAAUAUUGCAAUAGGGGGAAAGAGACUUCAGUAUAGAACUGGGCUCAAUUCCAAAUAUAGCAAGAACAAGUGGGGAUUUAUAGGCAAGGAGCAAGUUGGGGUUGGGGGGUGGUCAGUUCAUGGAAAAUUACAAAGAGGAGACGUAAAGGGUAGGGAGGAAUUCUCACUAUACUGACCAACAGGAUUCUUGCUGAGGGCUGGCCAGAGUGAUCAGAUACCACCUGGGUAGAUGAGAAAUUUAAUUAGAUAUUGAGACUGAUCAGAUAUCAAGAACUCAUGCUAAACUGACAUGACAGAAUUCUUGCUAAAAGUGGGUGUUGCAAAGACAAACAUUGAAGCCCAAAGGUUGAAGCCUAGUUAAGAAGAGGGUUCAGAGGAGUCUGACUAAAAGUUUGGUCAAGGAGAGAGUCUUUGUCAGUGAAGGUUCCAAACAAACCAACAUUCUUCCCCAGACCUUGGAAGAUCUGGAAGGUGCACCCAAGUCAAGAUCUCGGUAAGUGGGGGUGUGUGGAAGCAAAGGGAAGUUCUUGAAAUAAGAACACAUCCUUGGAGAUUCCUUCCAAUCCCCUCCCGAGAAAGAGCCCUCAAAUAGCUAAAGCCCCAGAGUCUUGGACAAGGGGAGUCUGGCUACUAGGACUAAAGUGAUUUGCACUUUACUCUGUGAAACUGUUGUUACAUUGCAUUGUUACAUUCAGAAGAAAGCAAGCAAUUAUUUUUUAAGGCUCCACAAACAUUUAAUAGUUGGGUUGCUUUAAUGGGAAAUUUACCAGUUAGGAAUUCUUUGGAAGAUGGGACUUUCCUGGUGGUCCAGUGGUAAAGAAUCCGCCUUCCAAUUCAGGGGACGCAGAUUUGAUCCCUGGUCAGGGAACUAAGACCCCACAUGCUGUGGGGCAACUAAGCCUGCCCGCCACAACUGCUGAGCUGGGGUGCCUCAACGAGAGAGCCCACGUGCCUCAAACUACAGAGUCCACAUGCUCUGGAGCCCGAGCGCCACAACUACAGAGCCCACGUGCCCUGGAACCCAUGUGCCACAACUAGAGAGAGAAAGUCUGCAUGCCACAACUAGAGAGAAGCCCUCACGUCACAAGAGCCCACGCUGCAAUGAAAAAUCGUGCAUGCCUCAACGAAGAUCCUACAUGCCACAACUAAGACCCGACACAGCC